rnacentral:rRNA from 1 species
ACACGACUACAUUAGAUACCCGGGUAGUCCUAGCCGUAAACGAUACUCGCUAGGUGUCGGCCACGGUGCGACCGUUGUCGGUGCCGUAGGGAGGCCGUGAAGCGAGCCACCUGGGAAGUACGGCCGCAAGGCUGAAACUUAAAGGAAUUGGCGGGGGAGCACAACAACGGGUGGAGCUUGCGGUUUAAUUGGAUUCAACGCCGGAAAUCUUACCGGGACCGACAGCAACAUGAAGGCCAAGCUGAAGACUUUGCCGGAUUAGCUG